UACGUAGGUGGCAAGCGUUGUCCGGAAUUAUUGGGCGUAAAGCGCGCGCAGGCGGUCCUUUAAGUCUGAUGUGAAAGCCCACGGCUCAACCGUGGAGGGUCAUUGGAAACUGGGGGACUUGAGUGCAGAAGAGGAGAGUGGAAUUCCACGUGUAGCGGUGAAAUGCGUAGAGAUCGUGGAGGAACACCGUGGCGAAGGCGG
rnacentral:rRNA from 1 species